rnacentral:rRNA from 1 species
GCCUACGGGGGGCAGCAGUAGGGAAUCUACCACAAUGGGCGAAAGCCUGAUGGAGCAACGCCGCGUGGGUGAAGAAGGUCUUCGGAUCGUAAAACCCUGUUGUUAGAGAAGAAAGUGCGUGAGAGUAACUGUUCACGUUUCGACGGUAUCUAACCAGAAAGCCACGGCUAACUACGUGCCAGCAGCCGCGGUAAUACGUAGGUGGCAAGCGUUAUCCGGAUUUAUUGGGCGUAAAGGGAACGCAGGCGGUCUUUUAAGUCUGAUGUGAAAGCCUUCGGCUUAACCGGAGUAGUGCAUUGGAAACU